rnacentral:rRNA from 1 species
GAUGAACGCUGGCGGCGUGCCUAAUACAUGCAAGUCGAGCGAACAGACGAGGAGCUUGCUCCUCUGACGUUAGCGGCGGACGGGUGAGUAACACGUGGAUAACCUACCUAUAAGACUGGGAUAACUUCGGGAAACCGGAGCUAAUACCGGAUAAUAUAUUGAACCGCAUGGUUCAAUAGUGAAAGACGGUUUUGCUGUCACUUAUAGAUGGAUCCGCGCCGCAUUAGCUAGUUGGUAAGGUAACGGCUUACCAAGGCAACGAUGCGUAGCCGACCUGAGAGGGUGAUCGCCCACACUGGAACUGGGACACGGUCCAGACUCCUACGGGAGGCCGCAGUAGGGAAUCUUCCGCAAAGGGCGAAAGCCUGACGGAGCAACGCCGCGUGAGUGAUGAAGGUCUUCGGAUCGUAAAACUCUGUUAUUAGGGAAGAACAAAUGUGUAAGUAACUAUGCACGUCUUGACGGUACCUAAUCAGAAAGCCACGGCUAACUACGUG